rnacentral:rRNA from 1 species
UACGUAGGGUGCAAGCGUUGUCCGGAAUUAUUGGGCGUAAAGAGCUUGUAGGCGGUUUGUCGCGUCUGCUGUGAAAUUUCGGGGCUCAACCCCGAACUUGCAGUGGGUACGGGCAGACUAGAGUGUGGUAGGGGAGACUGGAAUUCCUGGUGUAGCGGUGAAAUGCGUAGAGAUCAGGAAGAACAUCGGUGGCGAAGGCGCUCUGCUGGACCAUAACUGACACUCAGGGACGAAAGCUAGGGAGCGAAUGGG